AAAGAAUUAUUAGCAACGAUAGUUACCAAGUAGAGCAUUACCUCGAUUAUAUCUCUAAGAUAGUUUUGAUAUCUGCCUUAAUUCUGGUUGCAACAAUAUAUUAGUUAUAAAGCUCCUGAUUCCUUGUUACUUACACUAGAUCUGGUUUUUCCAUGUCUCAGGCUCAUAUUUAGUAUGUCUGAGCAAUUUUCACAACUUAAAAACGUUUUUACAAACUUCAUCAAAUUCAAUAUCAGCCUCAGCCUCAGCCUCUCCACCCAUUGCUCGAGUUGAUUACUUUGAUAAUUCGGACAACUCUGAUGAUGCUUCAUCAAAUGGCUCAGAUUUUGCAUUUUGAGCUUCAGGUCUUACUUCAGCCAACAACUCUUCUCCCCCCCCCCUGCUAAAGCUCCCCAUGUGCUAGUUAAGGAUGCUACAACCACAGACUUUACAGGUACUGCAGACAGUGAUAAGGAGGGGGCAUUUGAUGACUACUUCUGAUGGAUCUUUGUGUUCCCGUUUCUUCAUAUCUAUAGACGACGGAUAUAAACACAGUUCCAAUAGCAUUACAGUGUAGGCUGGUAAGACUCAAACCAAAUUUAUUACAUACACCACAUACAGGAUUUGUAUAUAGGAGUAAGAUUCGUAGGGUUCUUUAGGUCAAAUAGUUAGCUAAUCUUUUCGAAAUGCCUUUUCCCAUUAGAUCUGCAUUAGUUUCAUUUGUAUCUUCACUAACAGUCGCUAUGACUCCAAUUGUCUGUAACAAGGCUCGAUAAGUUCUAAGACGAGUAUAUGUCUCGAAAUUAAGUU